CUACCAUGUUCCUGGGUGAUGCUCCACAUUUCCUUUGUUUACAUAAACCUGUUAUGUGUCUCUCCUGCCACUGUUUAACACACCACAAAUACUGGUGAGUACGACACAGGCAUCCUGAGCUGGUCCUAGGGUCACUGACACCUGGGUGCAAUAAUAUUUUUGGCGCCCCUUAGCUGGGCGUGGCUAUGAAGCCAACUCCUCCCCUUCACAAACAUAAAACUUUUAAC